UAUUAUUUUGGAGUGUUAAUUUUUGUGCCUGAGUAGUAUUAGUUAUGUUCUUGAAACUUAAAGAAUUUGGCGGUAUCUUAUUCCAUCCAGAGGAAUCUGUCUCGUUAUCGAUAGUCCGCGUUGGACCUUACUUAGUUGCUUUGGUUUGUAUACCGCCGUUUAUUGAUUAUCUUUUUAGAGUUGAUUUAAUUUUCUGGUUUCUUUAUUUUGAUUUAUUUCAGGUCAAGGUGCAGCUUGUUUCUAAGUGGAAUGAUGGAUUACAUUGUUAUUUGUUUAUUGGAUUGUUGGUUUUAAUAUUGAUAUGAAAUUGGAUUUGGUUGUAAUGUUUUGUAGAUUGUUUUCAUGAUAAUUGGUUCUGGGAUAUGUACACAUCGCCCGUCGCUCUCGUUUAUUUGUUAAUGAG
rnacentral:rRNA from 1 species